GGUAUCCUACGGGGCGCAGCAGUGAGGAAUAUUGGUCAAUGGGCGGGAGCCUGAACCAGCCAAGUCGUGUGAAGGAAGAAGGUACUUAGUAUUGUAAACUUCUUUUGUCGGGGAACAAAGGCGGAGACGCGUCUCCGGAUGAGUGUACCCGAAGAAAAAGCAUCGGCUAACUCCGUGCCAGCAGCCGCGGUAAUACGGAGGAUGCGAGCGUUAUCCGGAUUUAUUGGGUUUAAAGGGUGCGCAGGCGGGAGAUCAAGUCAGCGGUGAAAACUCAGGGCUCAACCCUGAGCCUGCAUUUGAAACUG
rnacentral:rRNA from 1 species